CCGUGUCUGGAUCCCAUGCGG
rnacentral:misc_RNA from 1 species